UAGGAUUUGUGGUUAGUCACCAUCUGCACUCCUCACCUCUGCCACAUACUUCCUCCCCCGCCACACCACUGACACAGCUCUGGCCCAGGUGACCACCAAUGACCUCUGUGUUGCCUGCCACACGCCAGGGAUGCUCUCCGGCCUCCACUCACUGGACUUCCCUGCCUUAGCUGCCACUGCUGAACAUGCUCCUUAAAGUGUCUCCGUGGCCUCCUCCCCUCGCUCCCCUCGGCUCACCACUGGACAUUUACUUUCCCUGGGGCACAGUUUCCUGCAUCAGUUUUGUGGUUGUAACUACCACCUAGAUAUAAAAUAGCUCCAACCACAUAUUUUCCAUCCUGAUCUCUCACCCUGCAGGAUCACACCCAGGUGCCUUCUGGACAUCUUAACUUGGGUACCCCCGAAACAUCUGCAACUCAACACCCUGAACUCUCCCUCCUCCUUCCCCACUCAGUCCCUUGGCCUGAGCCCUCUUCUGAGUGAGUGUGGGCUACCUUUGAAGGAUCCCAGUUCAGGACAAGCCGUAUUUGUCCAGCCACACCGCCACCACUGUCAUCUGAGAGAAUAACCUCAGAAGGAGCAUCCAGGGAAGACUUUCCAGGAAAAGAAGAGUCUGUCUGCCAGGUGACGGAGGAGGCUGGGUGACCAUGGCCAGCCUCACCUUGACAACACUGAUGGGCUUCCUGGACAUGUGAUAACAGGUAUAAAUGAAGAAGG